CCUACCACUGGAGCGACGUGCGUACGUGUGGACGUGGGGCUGGGAGAGCAAGGAGGUUGGCAAGCAGGAUGGCUGGGAACUAUGGCUGGAAGCUAUGGCUGGGAGUACGGGAAGCGUGGGCGUGCCGCCGUGCGCCCGUGCGUGCAAAUGCGACGUUGCACCUGCACGGGCGGGCGCAGGAGCGUGCGCAGUGCGUGUGUGAGCGGGGGGUGGCGGGUUCGGCCGGGCGUGUCGCCCGUCGCUGUGUGCCCCAUUGGUGUCUGACCGGGCAUUCAUGCGCUGUUGCACACUUGUUGAUAAUGUCAACAGUGUCACUGAUACGCCCUAGAGAGUCAUGGAUCGCUUGCCCUCAGUACAUAUUGCAUACCGUACUCAACAUUCCUCCUCUGAGCAUUCAACGCGUGGGGAGCUGGGUAUGGGUACGGUAUUCGCCGUAGGGUUUCAGCGGUCAGCGGCCUUGUCCAUGGCCCUAACUGGUGGGUAGUCCGGACCGGGGGUUUGCUUGCGACAGUCGAGCUCACCGUGUCCACGCCACGGUCCACGCAGAGUCGUCCAGGGGUGAUGUCCAUGGCGCAUGUGUCCAUGCCCUAACAAGUCAUGGGAGCGAGCGCAUGGGGGAGAACAUACGGCUUGGUGUGACCGCAGGGACCGUGCAUGUCCUUCAGCUGUGGCCAGCUUUUGUCACCCGAGGGCGUCUUAAUGGACCCGCACGGCACGUCGCCACCCGCACCUGCUAUCAGCUGCCCGUGCUUCCGCACAACCGUGGUGCAUUCACCGUAAGGUCGUGUCCUGGGUAAGGUCGCAGCAUUGUGAUGAGGGCUCAGUUGUCAAAGGGAACUACCUGGCCAGACUCGGCGCGCCCCAGCUUUCUCGCAUUUCCAGUUGUUGCGCAUGUUCGUGUGCGUGCAGUGAAGGCUAAUAACGUGCCUGUGCCCCUCCCCGUGCCCCAGCCCUUCAUCCCCGGAACACUGAUGCUCGCGAUCCAGCACCCCUGGAAUUAUUCGUGUUCCUGGCACCUGGCCCAACUCGUACCGUAUACGUACGUUAGCACGACGAACUUGAUGAUGGCUUGCAAGCACGCGGUCGGCUAGCGGAUCAGAAGUGUACGGCAGUACCCGGUGUGCACGUGCUGGCUGCACAUAUGUGACCCGGUAGUCCUCACUACCACCAAAAACGGUGUCAGCUUGUGAAUGCGUUGAGCCAGUACGGUACCGGCACUCAGUAUGGGUGGCUUUCACCCACAUGACUGGUCAGGGCGUCAGGCACAUAGGCUGCAAUAAUGCUGUGUCGCGGGGCCCAUCCUGAUGCUGGUGGCGGUGUUCGGGCAGUGAACAUGCAGUGGGAGCCGCAAGCGGUGCGGGACGCGGCCAAUUGAAGGUGCUACGGUGAUACCCGGUUCACAGGUCUAGGCACGAGGUCUAUAGGCGUACAUGAGGAUAGUAGACGCAAGCACAGAGGUGAGCCGGUGCGGAGUUGCUGAUGGCGGCGGGGGUGGCCGGUUGCAGCGGCUGCGGUAGGGCCACGCCCGCUGGACCCGGUGGUAUGGUGCUCAACGCCAAGCGCAAGGCGUUCCCGCAGCACGCCGACACGGAGGACUUCCAGGCGGUGCUCGUGUAUAGCUGGAAGCGCUGUGUCGCAGGAACACUGGUCAAGGGACUAGUUGGCUAGCUAGCCAGAGACUUCACAAGAUGCAUGGUGGAAGGUUUCCCCGCACGGUUUCCCCGCCACACGGAGGGUUUCCCCGGAGGGUUUCCCCGCCACAUCAUUACGCUCUGGGCGCCGGAUAGCCAGGCAACAGUACCUGCCAUAUAUAUGGACAUUUGCACCCCGGCUAGAUUGCGUUGCGGGCGGUCGUCAUUGGGCAAGGGUGGCGUUGACCAUGUUGGGCGUGGGUGACCGGGCGACCCGAAAUGUGGGGAGGACGUGGGGGCAGAAAGCGCGCGUCAAAGUAGAUGUCGAAGGCGAUGGGGGACGGAUGGAGAGGGUGGCAGGUAUACAGAGGCGUCGUUCGGGUUACAGGCAGCAGAUGACAGGGUGGGGCGCCAGCUGCGAGGGACCAGUUGAGAGGCAUGUGAUGCAUGACGGGAGUCCAUGGCGGAGGAACUGCGUUUCAGGACGAUGACGGCGGAGGUGGCGGGGUUGGCGGUCUUGGUGAGCACGGGUGAGCAAGGCGGAGGCGAGAGACGGAGUAACAUCCAAACACACUGUAUGGCAGAAAUGAGCGGCCCCCGCCCAGCGAUGCCAGGCAUCAUUUCCAUGGGCACUCGGUGGGCUAAGCUCAGAGGCCUUGAUGCGUAGGCUACCCAUGGGUGUAUAGCCACGGUGUAUAGCCCUGUCG
rnacentral:lncRNA from 1 species